UAGAAUUUUUGGUGAUGGUUAACAAGGUGUUGCAAUAGGUAGUCUAUUGCAACGGUUUCAUGCGUUACCAAAAAUAAAUAUUCUAUUAGCUAUAAUUUAGCACUAUAACUGUCACUUUUGACGAUUAAGCAUAGCAACAGAUAAAUGUAUAGCAAUGGUUGUUGAAACUGUUGAUACAAAAUCAGCUAUAGCAACACUUAUUGGGUACAAAAAUAUCUAUUGCAUCGCUUUAUUUUAUUCCCUUCAUUUUAAUAAUACUUUUUUGUUCUCUUAAACCUAUUCUCUUAAAACUUUCAUUCCUCUAAAAUAUUUUAUUCGCUAUAAUAUCAAUUUUGUGGAGAGGGCAGUGGAGACACCACAAUAUCUGGUAGUGAGCUUUGUCGGAUUUACUGGUGCCUCUUCAUAAAUCAAUUUACUAGUCCCAUCGGUAUUCUCUGUGGGAAACGAAGAAAAUGUGAAACAACAUAUCUGUGAUUAGGUGAGCUUCGGACCGACUGUAGUGAGCUACGGUAUAGUGAGCUUUAGACCGACUGUAGAAUUAUAUUUUGGAUGUGAAGAGUAGUGCUAAUAAUGGGACAGUGAACCGGUUCAAGGCUGUUGAUGUAUCUCCAUCUCAUUCUACAAAAGAAGUGUAGGCCUCUAUUUUCACUUCUUCAAGAAAGUGUGACUUCAAGGAGAGUUAUUCUUGCAGAUCUUUGGCCCUCAGCAAAAACUAAUAGCUUUUUUUGCUGAGGUGAUCUGCUAGUGUCUUGGACUGGUUUUAUUGUCUUAGAGUGUUUUUUUCAUGUAAUAUAGUUAUAUUCUAGACCAAUGAGUCAUAGAUUUUGCCUCUUUCCAUUUGAUUCAGUUGGUGCUUUAUUUUUAUAACAUAACAUUGUCAUUGUAAAUUUGAUGUUGCCUUUCAGUGUCUGCUUCAAACACUUUAGUGGCUUUUGUUUUCUCGCUUA